rnacentral:tRNA from 1 species
CAUUGGGAAGCUAUGCCACAGCACUAGCCUUUUAAGCUAGAAAUAGGGAGCCCCAACACCCCCCCCCAAUGA